UACAGAUCUUUGGAAACAGGC
rnacentral:miRNA from 1 species